rnacentral:rRNA from 1 species
GACGAACGCUGGCGGCGUGCUUAACACAUGCAAGUCGAGCGGAAAGGCCACUUCGGUGGUACUCGAGCGGCGAACGGGUGAGUAACACGUGAGUAAUCUGCCCCUGGCUUUGGGAUAGCCACCGGAAACGGUGAUUAAUACCGGAUAUGACCACUUCACGCAUGUGAUGGUGGUGGAAAGUUUUUCGGCCAGGGAUGUGCUCGCGGCCUAUCAGCUUGAUGGUGAGGUAAUGGCUCACCAUGGCUUCGACGGGUAGCCGGCCUGAGAGGGUGACCGGUCACACUGGGACUGAGACACGGCCCAGAGUCCUACGGGAGGCAGCAGUGGGGAAUAUUGGACAAUGGGCGGAAGCCUGAUCCAGCAACGCCGCGUGAGGGAUGACGGCCUUCGGGUUGUAAACCUCUUUCAGCACCGACGAAGCGCAAGUGACGGUAGGUGCAGAAGAAGGACCGGCCAACUACGUGCCAGCAGCCGCGGUAAAAC